rnacentral:rRNA from 1 species
CACACUAUCAUUAACUGAAUCCAUAGGUUAAUGAGGCGAACCGGGGGAACUGAAACAUCUAAGUACCCCGAGGAAAAGAAAUCAACCGAGAUUCCCCCAGUAGCGGCGAGCGAACGGGGAGCAGCCCAGAGCCUGAAUCAGUGUGUGUGUUAGUGGAAGCGUCUGGAAAGGCGCGCGAUACAGGGUGACAGCCCCGUACACAAAAAUGCACAUACUGUGAGCUCGAUGAGUAGGGCGGGACACGUGGUAUCCUGUCUGAAUAUGGGGGGACCAUCCUCCAAGGCUAAAUACUCCUGACUGACCGAUAGUGAACCAGUACCGUGAGGGAAAGGCGAAAAGAACCCCGGCGAGGGGAGUGAAAAAGAACCUGAAACCGUGUACGUACAAGCAGUGGGAGCCUCUUUAUGGGGUGACUGCGUACCUUUUGUAUAAUGGGUCAGCGACUUAUAUUCUGUAGCAAGGUUAACCGAAUAGGGGAGCCGAAGGGAAACCGAGUCUUAACUGGGCGUUAAGUUGCAGGGUAUAGACCCGAAACCCGGUGAUCUAGCCAUGGGCAGGUUGAAGGUUGGGUAACACUAACUGGAGGACCGAACCGACUAAUGUUGAAAAAUUAGCGGAUGACUUGUGGCUGGGGGUGAAAGGCCAAUCAAACCGGGAGAUAGCUGGUUCUCCCCGAAAGCUAUUUAGGUAGCGCCUCGUGAAUUCAUCUCCGGGGGUAGAGCACUGUUUCGGCAAGGGGGUCAUCCCGACUUACCAACCCGAUGCAAACUGCGAAUACCGGAGAAUGUUAUCACGGGAGACACACGGCGGGUGCUAACGUCCGUCGUGAAGAGGGAAACAACCCAGACCGCCAGCUAAGGUCCCAAAGUCAUGGUUAAGUGGGAAACGAUGUGGGAAGGCCCAGACAGCCAGGAUGUUGGCUUAGAAGCAGCCAUCAUUUAAAGAAAGCGUAAUAGCUCACUGGUCGAGUCGGCCUGCGCGGAAGAUGUAACGGGGCUAAACCAUGCACCGAAGCUGCGGCAGCGAC